GGCGCUAUAGCCAAGUGGUUACGGCGACAGAUUAGAAUCAUGCGAAAUUGGUCAUCUGUUUCCCUUUGGGAGCGCAGGUUCGAGUCCUGCUGGCGUCG